AGCUGAAGAGGUAGUUUAGUGGUGUAAGCACCACGUUUGAAACACCUAGACUCUCUGGAACCGAUGGCUUAAAUCUCAGCAGGGUUGACUCAGCCCUUCAGCUCCUCAGGCAGACACCGAGUUUCGUGUGUCUACCAUGCAGAAAGGGGCCUCUGCAGCUCCAACCCACAGAUGGUGGAAGGCCAGCAGGGCACGUACAAAUUCUCUGUAUUCUCUGGAAUAUAAGGCUUAUUUAAGAAGAGAAAAAGAAAUAUUUUGCUGAGUGGAACAGUGAAUAUGGUUCUGAUUUGCUGCUAACAUAGGCUCAUCCUUCUGAGGCUUAAACCAAUUUCAAGUCAGGAAAGAGAGGUGGUGGAAAAACCUUUUUAGAAUCUCUGGCAGAGAGCCCAGAACACAGCUCAUCACAUCGCAGCAGUAUGAUGGUGACAAGGUUGUCUGCCACUGACUCAUGCCCCACAAAGGACUGUCUGCAGAAGACAGUUUGGGAACUGCUGCUCUCAGUCAUAAAUAUUGUCUGUCUAUGGUCUUGAAA